UACGUAGGAGGCGAGCGUUGUCCGGAAUUACUGGGCGUAAAGCGUGCGUAGACGGUAAUGUAAGUCAGAUGUGAAAGCCCCGGGCUCAACCGGGGAACUGCAUCUGAUACUGGAUGGCUUGAGUUCGGGAGAGGGAUGCGGAAUUCCAGGUGUAGCGGUGAAAUGCGUAGAUAUCUGGAGGAACACCGGUGGCGAAGGCGGCAUCCUGGACCGGCACUGACGCUGAGGAGCGAAAGCCAGGGGAGCAAACGGG
rnacentral:rRNA from 1 species